UAGUUGUAUGUGUAACGAUCAGAAAUUCUGAUUGUUGUUAUGAAUUGAGACGAUGUUCAGUUUGAAAUAAUAGAUGGUUAUGCUAAUCAUAAGAAAUUGCAAAGAACUGAUAUUAACAAUGUAUUAUUCAGAUUUAUCAGAUUUGAUAAUCUUUUCAAAGAGAGAAACAAUGAUCGACCUAAAAUUUAGCCAUAUUGUUCCCGCAGACAAGAGAUAAACCUGAUCUUAAGAGCUUGUAAAUUUAGUAACGGCUUUGCUUCCGCCGUCGUUCGUGAUCUUUUUCUUUUGAACAUUUUCCUUCGUGAUCUUCUUCUCCACACCUUUGGUCCUUUCUCCCGCCUUAGGCGCUAUGAAUGAGAUAGGGUUUCGGAACAUGAGAGGAUCACUUAGAGCAUCUUUAUCGCACGUAUUUAGGAGGUUUCUUAGUCUAAUUAUGCAUAAAAAUAAAUCAAAAACACUAAUAAACACAAGAGGCGUCACUUAAUUUUGGCUAAAGAAGAGACGGUAUUCGGGACACGUGUAGGUAAAAGAGAGGAGAGAAGGGAGCGUGUGUCUUCGGUUUGUUUUCGUUCAGCUUUUUUUUUUUUUUUGUUCUGCUCUCUUUCUCUCGAAACCUCUCCAUCUUCUUCGUCUCUCCUAGAAAGCGAUUCUGUUUCUCGCCAUGGUUCCUCGACGAAACGCCGAUAAUCCCUCUCUUCGUGGCUCGUCGAUGAAACGGAAUCCUCUCUCUCCGUGGCUCGUAGAAGAAACGACAAUUCUCUCAGAGAUUAAGAGAGAGAUGUCAAAUCUUCAUCGUUAGUUCAUCGAACAAAGGAGGCAGAAGAAGGAUCCGAGUCUCCAGGUGCAGCUGCUGGAGUACGAUAUGAGGUUUGAGAGAUAUGGAAGUGAGUUCACGUUUUAUGAUUACAACGAACCUGAAGAGUUGCCCCUUCAGCUGAAACAUUGCUUCCAUAUAAUUGUUGCAGAUCCUCCCUACUUGGUAUAGUUAUUAACUUUUUUCUGUUUCUCUUUCUGAAAGUUCUUAGCUUGUGACAUUCAAGAAGCUGGUUUGAAAGUUUAAGGAUCUACUAGUCAUACAAAUGGAGCUAUAUCACUAGGUUAUUGCGACUUGCUUCCGUUUAUUUUGUUUCAAAGUACUAGUGUAAUAGUAGGUUAAAACAUUGAAUGAUUAAGGUUGUUGUAUAUGAUUUUUGCACUGGUAAAUGUUACGUUCAUUUGAUUUUGUGAGUU